rnacentral:rRNA from 1 species
UACGGAGGAUCCAAGCGUUAUCCGGAAUCAUUGGGUUUAAAGGGUCCGUAGGCGGUCUUAUAAGUCAGUGGUGAAAUCCAGCAGCUUAACUGUUGAACUGCCAUUGAUACUGUAAGACUUGAAUUAUUAGGAAGUAACUAGAAUAUGUAGUGUAGCGGUGAAAUGCUUAGAUAUUACAUGGAAUACCAAUUGCGAAGGCAGGUUACUACUAAUGGAUUGACGCUGAUGGACGAAAGCGUGGGGAGCGAACAGG